rnacentral:miRNA from 1 species
UUAUGAUCUGGAAUACUAGG